rnacentral:lncRNA from 1 species
CCUUCCCCAGCUUACUCUCUGACAUGUUACUCAGGUUUAUGGUCUUUGUAAGCUUCAUUAUUGGAUAUAUAUUUGCUUAUUUGUUUACAUGUUUAUUGUGUAUCUUCCCCUAGAACAGUGCUGACAUAUAGUAAGUGUUCAACAAAUAUUGUGUGGAUGAAUAAUUGAAGAGCCAGGUCCCUGCUGUCUCCUUAAACCUCUGUUACU